CAUUUUUGACAGCUAGCCCGUGUAUAUAUAUAUGAACAGCGUUGAAGCUAACAAAUUAAUUAAAACUAGGGAUAUAGCAUUAAGUCCAUAAUAGAGGAUUUUUAUGGCUGGACGGACGUAGUCACUACCGGAAUCGCGUUCUUUGCCGAGUGACUAUUUUACACUCGGCAAAGGCUUUGCCGAGUGUAACACUCGGCAAAUAACACUCGACAAAGAUUUUAUCGGCAAAGGGUUCUUUGCCGAGUGCUUUUUUUCGGACACUCGGCAAAGACUUUGCCGAGUGUCAAAAAGCACUCGGCAAAGAAAAACACUCGGCAAAUUAAGAAUCGAAAAAAUUAAGAAAAAAACAGUAAAACAUUUUUUAAAUUCUAGGAACAACUAUCCAACCCUACCUUAUUACCUUAUCUGUUGCCCUAUCAUUUUUUACUAUUAUUUUGAAUCAAACUUAUAUGUUUUGUAAAUGGUGAGAUUCGAACUCGCAACCUCUCUCUCGCGCAUACCCUCCUAUACCACUACACUACUACACCAAUUAUGUUUAUACUACGUUUUCAUUCCUCAUGUACUAUUCAAAUUUCAAAAUUCAAACAUAGUUUUGCAUAACAAGAUGAUUUCAAACUAAAACAUUGUUAACUACAAAGUUUCAUAACUCUUCAAUACCUACAACUUUCAUGUUGGUGGUUUUUCCUUUCGAAGUCGUUUUCAAAAUUCAAAUUUUAAAUUUUUAAAAUUCAGACAUAGUUUUCGUUGACAAUAUGACUUCAAAUGAAAAAGUUGUCAACUAUAAACUUCUAUAACUUCUCAAGAUCUACAAAGUUUAUUUUGGUUGUUUGGUAAUUUGUUUAUCUCAGAUGAUGGUUCUAACAAUAUGCACAAAUUCUAUACGUCUCUCUCGUAGUUACAUAAACUACGAGAGAGAUAUAGGUUUUAUGAACAAAUUUAUUUUUAUUUUGUCAUAUGAAUAAAUGUUCAAUAUAUAAAUUGUACAUCAUGAUGAGUUAUACAAAUUUGUAGUUGAAAACUUUUUCAUUUGAAUUAAUUUAAUACUUUAAAAUGUGAUUUUUAAAUUGUCUUUGCCUAGUGUUGGAGAAAAAACACUCGGCAAAGAGCUCUUUGCCGAGUGUUGUAUUUGUGACACUCGGCAAAGAGCCCUUUGCCGAGUGUCAAAAAAAGACACUCGGCAAAGAAACUCUUUGCCGAAUGUCAAAAAUAAAACACUCGGCAAAGAGCUUCUUCGCCGAGUGUUUUCUUUUACCGAGGGUUUUUUGUGUGACACUCGGCAAAGAGGUCUUUUUUGUGUGACACUCGACAAAGAGAUCUUUGCCGAGUGCCCGAAAUAAAACACUCGGUAAAGAAUAUGGCACUCAGCAAAGAGCCAAAUUCCGGUAGGGAGUACAAGUAUAAACCAGUUUCCAAGUUCCAGCCGCCUUGCAGCUACUGCAGAAACCUAUACGACCAAGACCCUAUAGACUCGACACUCGACAACUUAGGAGAACCAUGGAGCAGGAGCACCAUGGAGAGACCCAAAGCUUAUAACGACGCUUUUCUCUCUCUCUCUCUCUCUCCCUCUCUUUUCUCAGCCCUACAGGUUUAUUUAUUCUUCAG
rnacentral:lncRNA from 1 species